UUUUCUAAAUUUCAUGAUCGGUGUCACCAGUGGAACUGCUUUCAGACAUAUUUUGAAUGAUUACAAGGAAUGGAUGGAAAGUUCAGUAUUUUAAUGCAUAGUGAAAACAUACUGUAGAAUGGUAAUUAAGCUUGAUAUAAUAAUAGAUUGAUAUUUUCUUGAAUUUUCUUGUUUCUGUACGUAGUACUCAUAGAUAGGUAGUACUAUAUCCACUCGGGCAGUGGCGGC
rnacentral:lncRNA from 1 species